CGCUGUUUUGACCACUCUGGUUAAGUCUCACCCCCACAUCCCAAAAGCCACACACAACACAACAUACUCUUCUUCGUCAUCAUCUUCUUCUUCUUCUUGGUCGGAGCAACAAGAUUUUGGAAUUUCGCCUGCAGUAACCGCUCACGUGUUUGUUCACUCCACUUCUCUUACCUCUCAGCUUCGAGGUUAAAUUAUUGAGUGAAUUUGAGUUUAUCUGUGUUUCUUCCUGCGAAGGCGUUGUACGAUUACGCCAGGACUGUUGCGGAUGAGAGAUCUGUGGUGAGGUCUGUGGAAAUGGCAUCAUCCGAGGUGACGAUGAAGGGAAAUUGCUUGAACCAUAACGACGGCGGAGCUGUGGAGGCUCAGGCGCCGGCCACGGCCAAAGACGCAGAAGCUGCACUUUUCAGGGAACUGUGGCACGCGUGUGCCGGUCCUCUCGUGACCGUGCCGCGCGAAGGAGAGCGCGUGUUUUAUUUUCCUCAGGGACAUAUCGAGCAGGUUGAGGCGUCGACGAAUCAGGUGGCGGACCAGCACAUGCCGGUUUACGAUCUCCCACCCAAGAUCCUUUGUCGGGUCAUCAACGUGCAGCUGAAGGCCGAGCCCGACACGGAUGAGGUGUUCGCUCAGGUCACCUUGCUUCCGGAGCCAAAUCAAAAUGAGAAUGACGUGGAGAAAGAACCGCCACUGCCCCCGCCACCGCGGUUUCACGUUCAUUCUUUCUGUAAAACCCUGACAGCGUCCGAUACCAGUACCCAUGGUGGGUUUUCCGUGCUGAGACGGCAUGCUGAUGAAUGCCUUCCCCCUCUGGAUAUGUCGAAGCAGCCACCCACUCAGGAAUUGGCAGCUAAGGAUCUUCAUGGAAACGAAUGGCGAUUUAAACACAUCUUUCGGGGUCAGCCCCGUAGACACUUGCUUCAGAGUGGUUGGAGUGUUUUUGUUAGCUCCAAAAGGCUUGUCGCUGGGGAUGCGUUUAUAUUUCUUAGAGGUGAAAACGGGGAACUUCGAGUUGGUGUCAGGCGAGCAAUGAGACAACAGGGUAAUGUUCCAUCCUCAGUGAUCUCAAGUCAUAGCAUGCAUCUUGGGGUCCUUGCAACUGCUUGGCAUGCCAUCUUGACGGGGACAAUGUUCACUGUGUAUUACAAGCCUAGGACUAGUCCCGCUGAAUUUAUUGUUCCGUAUGAUCAAUAUAUGGAGUCUCUCAAAAACAGUUAUAGCAUCGGGAUGCGGUUCAAAAUGAGAUUUGAAGGUGAAGAGGCUCCAGAGCAGAGGUUUACUGGUACAAUUGUUGGAAUUGAAGAUUCUGAUCCCAAGAGGUGGAGAGAAUCCAAAUGGAGAUGCCUCAAGGUGAGAUGGGAUGAAACAUCUAACACCCCUCGUCCUGAGAGAGUUUCCCCUUGGAAAAUAGAGCCUGCACUUGCGCCUCCGGCUCUAAAUCCUCUUUCAAUGCCCAGGCCUAAAAGGCCUCGGUCUAAUGCAGUUCCUUCUUCCCCAGAUUCUUCUGUCCUUACUCGAGAAGCAGCAUCAUCUAAAGUAAGCGUCGACCCUUCACCGGCAAAUGGGUUUCCAAGGGUCUUGCAAGGUCAAGAAUUCUCGACCUUGAGAGGCAAUUUGGGUGAAAGCAAUGACUCUGAUGCUGCUGAGAAAUCUGUUGUUUGGCCGCCUGCCGCUUUAGAUGAUGAAAAGAUUGAUGCUUCUACGUCAAGGAGGUACGGGACGGAGAGCUGGAUGUCAAUGGGGAGGAACGAGCCAACAUAUUCUGAUCUUCUUUCAAGUUUUGGGGCCGGUGGGGAUCUUUCUCAUUCAUCCUUGAUGGAUCAAAUCAGCCCGGUAGUUUAUCCCACUAGAAAGCAAUCGUCAGAUCAUGAAGGCAAACUUCACAUGCCUCAGCCGUGGCCUGUAAUGCCCUCUAGUCUUUCAUUGAAUAUAUUGGACUCCAAUACGAAAGUUCCUGCACAUGGUGGUGAUCCAACUUACCAAGCACGAGUGAAUUUGAGGUACAGUGCAUUUGGUGAAUACCCUUCACUGCAUCAUAAAGUAGAACACUCACAUGGAAAAUUGAUGCCACCCCCACCUGCACCCCUAAAUCAAUAUCAGACUCCUUGUUCAAGAGAAGUUAUGUCAAAACCAGUGUCAACAAAAACAUUUGAGGCUGUGAAGUCAAAAAAUGGUGACUGUAAGCUAUUUGGCUUCUCACUUAUCAGUGGCCCUGUUGUACCAGAGCCUUCUGUAUCGCAAAGAAAUGUCAACGAACCCACUGGUCAGAUGCAUCUUACGCCACACCAACAAAGAACAUCCGAAAAUGAUGAGAAGUCAGACCACUCAAAGGGCUCAAAAACUGGUGAUGAUCUAAUUGUUGAUGACCAUGAUAGACCAUUACAGACUUCUCAGCUACAUGUGAAAGAUGGUCAAGCUAAACCCCACAGUAGUUCCGCUAGGAGUUGCACUAAAGUUCACAAGAAGGGCAUUGCACUCGGUAGGUCAGUGGACCUUACGAAGUACACUGGCUAUGAUGAAUUAGUGACUGAAUUGGAUCAGCUGUUUGAAUUUGAGGGAGAGUUAUUGUCAACUAAAAAGGAUUGGCUUAUUGUCUAUACUGAUAACGAGGGUGAUAUGAUGCUUGUAGGCGAUGAUCCAUGGCAGGAAUUUUGUGCCAUGGUUCGCAAAAUUUACAUCUACCCUAAGGAGGAGAUCCAGAAAAUGAGCCCGGGUACCUUGAGCUCAAAAAAUGAGGAGAACCUGUCGGGUAGUGAAGGUGCAGAUGCGAAAGAUGUUAAACGUCUGCCGCUUCAAAAGUUCAAUUAUGAAUAUUGCCUUGACGCGUGAUGAUUAGUAGAUUGAGUUUCGCAGCUUUCAGGUUAAUUUCUGCCUCCCAUCCCAGUUAACAUUGGAUUCAAUGAUAUUAGAUGUCCAGAUCAAAAUUGGCCCACAUUCCGGGCUGGAGAGUAUGAGAUUGUCAUGAAGCCAUCCAUCCAGAUGGAGAACAUAACAAGACGAAUUAUAAUGGAGGCUGACUGCUUGAAAUUAUAUAUAUAUAUAGAUGGUAUGGCGCGGCAUGAUAGAGUAUCCGUCCAAUUUUUGAAAUCCCGGAAUUAGUAGUAUAUUGUCUGCCCAGUUAUACGAGCCCUUAGGAUGUAAUCAAUUGUGUUUUGAGCGAGGUGAUAUCCACCUUGCCUUUUUAGACCAAUCCCACUUGUAGUAGUAGUUGUUGUACAUAGUUGUUUCUCUCCCAUCCUCUGAACAACAACCCGUUAAUGUAAUGAAAUUUUAUACAAAGGGCGCUCUUAUGGUUGCUAUCCACUUUAUUUCAUUUUA